GUAAGUCAAAUAAAUGAUAGAUGCACAUCUUAGUAAUUGACAAUAUAUCAAGUCUUGCAGGUAUAGCUAGUCUUUGUAGUUGAAGCCCCAAAUCCGCGCUUUCUUUAUUCAACUGAAAGGAUUGAACUCACGUCCAGCUCGGAAGUCAAAGGGAAGAAAGACUACUUUUAUUCCGCUUCCUAUCAUCUCUUCUAGGAGUUUCGCAUGUAGCAAGGGAAGGGACCUUAGUGAAUGCAGAAUUGAUAGCAGUGAGUGAGUCCUUGAAUUGAAGGUCGAUGAAAUUGAGCUCUGAUGGACUUAGGGCAUAAAGAUAGAGCCCAGGCCCUGGAUAGGAUUAUAGAGGAGUAUUCAAGAGUUCUUAACCUUCUUAGCCAAUUCAUUCCAUGCAAAGGGAUAAACGCCUUCUACCUAUAGUAGCGAAAGCUAUCAUUAUUCUUAUGGAGAAAUAGAAGUAGCAAAUAUUGCAAUACAAAGUAGUUUGCCCUAUCCUACUCCUAUUAGGUGUGGUAUUCUUAGAUUUAGGUAAAGUAUCAGCACUCUAGUAGUCAAACUCUAAAAGAGGACAUACUAGAUCGAUUAACUAUAGUUAUUCUAAGACUUUUGAUAAGAAACUAUAUUCCGCAUUCCGCUUCGGAGAAUCUCUUGUAGAUCAAUGAAAGCAUGAAAGGGAAAUCAAGAAAGGAAGGCAUAUAGCGCGUGAAGGAAGGGAGUAUAUAAAUUGAUAAGGAGAUGGAAAAAUGCCUAUAAGCCACUCCUUAACCCUUAAGCAGUGGGCUCAAAAAGGAAGCAGGAAAGAAGAUCCUAGAAUAGGUCUAGUGUUAAAAGGCAGGUGCAAAGCGAAGCUCCAAGUAUGGAAGAACUAGCUUUACCAGUAAAAGUUCUUUGGAACAAGAACUUCUAUCACUGCGUUUGUCAAUCCAGCCACUUCCUUCAAUAAAUGGUAUGGCAUUCCCCUUAUUGAAUAUCCAUGCAUCUCUGGAAGACAGUCCAGUCAAAGAUGUACGGUUAAGUAGAUCACAGGCCAGGUAGAGCUCGGCAUCAAAGAAAUAAUACUUAUAUUCUGAUGGGUUAUCUCAGAAAGAUUACUUUUAUUCUGCUUGCUAUCAUCUCUUCUAGAAGUUUGGCAUGUAGUAAGGGAAGGGACCUUAGUGAAUGCAGAAUUGAUAGCAGUGAGUGAAUCCUUGAAUUUAAGGUCGAUGAAAUUGAGCUCGAACGAAGCUAGAGGCGAACAAAAUUAGCUAUUAAGCUAGGGUUAGACUAAGAAGAAUCUUUCGACCGUAAUUUUGCUCAAUGAAAUAAACUAAGGGUUUUUAUAUAGAAACUAUGGGCCUUAGCGAGAAGUGGCACU
rnacentral:lncRNA from 1 species